rnacentral:rRNA from 1 species
UACAGAGGUCCCAAGCGUUGUUCGGAUUCACUGGGCGUAAAGGGUGCGUAGGUGGUGAGGUAAGUCGGAUGUGAAGUCUCCGGGCUCAACCCGGAAAUGGCAUUGGAAACUACCUUGCUGGAGGGUUUGAGGGGGGAUUGGAAUACUUGGUGUAGCAGUGAAAUGCGUAGAUAUCAAGUGGAACACCAGUGGCGAAGGCGAAUCCCUGGAAAAUACCUGACACUGAGGCACGAAAGCUAGGGGAGCAAACAGG